UCCACGCCCUAAACGAUGGAUGCUAGUCGUUGCGGUGCUGGUCACUGCAGUGAUGCAGCUAACGCAUUAAGCAUCCCGCCUGGGGAGUACGGUCGCAAGACUAAAACUCAAAGGAAUAGACGGGGACCCGCACAAGCGGUGGAGCAUGUGGUUUAAUUCGAAGAUACGCGAAGAACCUUACCUGGGCUUGACAUCCCAAGAACCUUCCAGAGAUGGAGGGUGCCCCUUUAGGG
rnacentral:rRNA from 1 species